AAAAACAUAGCCUUUAGCCAAACAAGUAUUAAAGGUCUAGCCUGCCCAGUGAAUUAUUUCAACGGCCGCGGUAUCCUAACCGUGCAAAGGUAGCGUAAUCAUUUGUCUUCUAAAUAGAGACUUGUAUGAACGGCUAACUGAGGGCCCAACUGUCUCCUUAGACCAAUCAAUGAAACUGAUCUUUCAGUACAAAAGCUGAAAUAAACACAUAAGACGAGAAGACCCUGUGGAGCUUAAAACCUACACUAUAAACACCCACCCACCCCCAAAGGGACACCUCCCUCCCCAUAGUAAAAAGUUUUUAGUUGGGGCGACUUUGGAACAAAACAGAACUUCCAUGCCAGGGACCCCUCCCUAUAAAGGCUUACAUGCCAAAAUAAUAUUCUUUUGACCCAGCCUGUCUGAUCAACGAACCAAGUUACCCCAGGGAUAACAGCGCCAUCCUCUUCAAGAGUUCCUAUCGACAAGAGGGUUUACGACCUCGAUGUUGGAUCAGGACACCCCGGUGGUGUAGCCGCUACCAAAGGUUCGUUUGUUCAACGAUUAACAGU
rnacentral:rRNA from 1 species